rnacentral:rRNA from 1 species
GUGGGGAAUCUUGCGCAAUGGGCGAAAGCCUGACGCAGCAACGCCGCGUGAGCGAAGAAGGCCUUCGGGUUGUAAAGCUCUGUCAGGGGGGAAAAAGGCACCUGGGUUAAUAGCCCAAGGGCUGAUGGUACCCCCAAAGGAAGCCACGGCUAACUACGUGCCAGCAGCCGCGGUAAUACGUAGGUGGCGAGCGUUGUCCGGAAUCAUUGGGCGUAAAGAGCGCGUAGGUGGCUUGUCAGGUCCGGUGUGAAAUCCUGGGGCUUAACCCCAGGCCUGCACCGGAAACCGGCUUGCUAGAGUCUGGGAGAGGAGAGUGGAAUUCCUGGUGUAGCGGUGAAAUGCGUAGAUAUCAGGAGGAACACCGGUAGCGAAGGCGGCUCUCUGGAACAGUACUGACACUGAGGCGCGAAAGCUAGGGGAGCAAACAGGAUUAGAAACCCCAGUAGUCC